AGCGAACGCUGGCGGCAGGCUUAACACAUGCAAGUCGAGCGGGCAUCUUCGGAUGUCAGCGGCAGACGGGUGAGUAACACGUGGGAACGUACCCUUCGGUUCGGAACAACUCUGGGAAACUGGAGCUAAUACCGGUUACGCCCUUAUGGGGAAAGGUUUACUGCCGAAGGAUCGGCCCGCGUCUGAUUAGCUAGUUGGUGGGGUAACGGCCUACCAAGGCGACGAUCAGUAGCUGGUCUGAGAGGAUGAUCAGCCACACUGGGGCUGAGACACGGCCCAGACUCCUACGGGAGGCAGCAGUGGGGAAUAUUGGACAAUGGGCGCAAGCCUGAUCCAGCCAUGCCGCGUGAGUGAUGAAGGCCUUAGGGUUGUAAAGCUCUUUUGUCCGGGACGAUAAUGACGGUACCGGAAGAAUAAGCCCCGGCUAACUUCGU
rnacentral:rRNA from 1 species